rnacentral:rRNA from 1 species
CAGUCGCCGCGGUAAUACGAAGGGUGCAAGCGUUAAUCGGAAUUACUGGGCGUAAAGCGUGCGUAGGCGGUGAGUUAAGUCUGCUGUGAAAUCCCCGGGCUCAACCUGGGAAUGGCAGUGGAUACUGGCUCGCUAGAGUGUGUCAGAGGAUGGUGGAAUUCCCGGUGUAGCGGUGAAAUGCGUAGAGAUCGGGAGGAACAUCAGUGGCGAAGGCGACUAUCUGGGCCAACACUGACACUGAGGCACGAAAGCGUGGGGAGCAAACAGGAUUAGAUACCCAGUAGUCCCUGUCUCUUAUACA